rnacentral:lncRNA from 1 species
AUGCAAGGACCAGAACUUGUUGACUCGAGGAGUCGUUUUCGAUUUAUUGAAUCCUGUCUCGGCUUGAUGGGCUGUUUGUGUAUCAACUAUGCGAUCUGGACAUCUCGGUGGCUGGAUGACCGGGGUCUGUGGACCUCACGGAAUGAGACCAGACUGGAUGACAGCCGGACCACUGAAGACAUUGCUAAAGCUCUGGAGGCUGAAAAAGUGUUUGCAGCAGUGGCUUUCCUGAUGUCUGUGAGCGCUGGACUGCUGUGUCUCAUGUUUGCCCUCUGCUGGACGUCUCAAACGGUGCGUUCCUACUCAAACACUCGCUCGCUGCUGAUGGCAGGCCAGGCACUCGACCCGACCACCCUGCUGCUGUUCACACUAGUACCUACAGGUUUUUUCUUUUUUCUCAGCUGGGCGCUUUUUACCCAUCAAUAUAUUGGUGAGAUAAGGGAUGAUGUCAGUCGACUCGGCCCAUCCUAUUGGCUGGGAGUGGUGGGUUGGGCUUCUCUAUUGGCCGUGCUGCCUGUGGUCUUCCUGGCAGAGAAGUUUGUGGUUCCCGACAUCCUGCCGGAGUUAAAAAAUGCUGCCCAAAUGUGGUGGAAGGCUCCGGAGGCUGCACACACGCGGUCGUUAAGUGAGGGUUGCCAUCGUUCACAGCAUAAGACUCAUCCUGACUUUAGGAGGUAUUUGUCAGUGCCUUGAACGAGAGGAAGAAGGUAGCAAGGAAAUACAGAGAAGAGACUCUGGUCUCGCUUGUCUUCUAGCCAUAUAUAUGAGCUGAGCAUAUCCCUCACAACAGGGGUCAAGGACCUGGAUGAGAAACCUGUAACUGCUCUCUGCGAUGUGACACACAAAGCUACAGGUUAUAAGGUUCAGUGCUGGCUUUGACAGUGGCUUCACAGAUGUAUUUGGACGAGGAUGCCCAAAUAUCAGAGUUCACUAUCUAAAUGUAAAACAUAAAGCUGAAAGGAUCUUGAAGUUGCAAAGAGGCUAUUUCUCUAGAACUUUUAAUAGUCGUUGCCUGCAGAUGUUAUUGUGUAAAUUAUACAGUGACUUUCAGGGAUGUAGACUUAAAUAUGCUAAAUUAUUAACUGAAAUAACAACAAAAAACACUAAAGUAGUUUAUAUCUGAUUGGUAAAUCUAUAAUAAAAUUACUAAGAAUGGCAAUAGGCAGUACUUAAGAAAUGCUACAAAUGCAAUCAUUAGUGGCAUAUUUAAAAAAUGAAAAUAUACGUUUUUUUUAAAAAAAGUUAUUGAAACAGUUUGAAACAUACUUGUUCUUGCAUAGAAAAAUGAUUCAUUUCUAAGAUCCACUUGACCUUUCCCCUUAUUCCCACUGCCAAAAGCGGUGAUCAUUUAAUUCCAGAUUUUUCUGCUUGUUCUCAAUUUUGUAGACAAUACUGAUUCAAAUAGUCAGAGCACUUUUCUACUGCUAACACUUAAUGUAAUAGGGACUUCCAGGUGCUAAUGCAGAAUUCAACACUACUAGAUAGUGCUGCAGUUGUUUUUUUGUUUUUUAUCUGUCUUUUUUUAAGUGCAAACAGUGCUCUCUACUGGCGAUAGUCCAAAGAGCAUCAUGUUCUAUCCUGUAUUUUUAAAGCUAUUUAACAAUACUUUUUGUACUGUUUUAAACCAAUAAAUGAAAUGGUUUUCAUAUAAAGUUGAGUCCAUAUCUAUCUAUCUAUCUAUCUAUCUAUCUAUCUAUCUAUCUAUCUAUCUAUCUAUCUAUCUAUCUAUCUAUCUAUCUAUCUAUCUUUAGAUAGAUAUCUAUUUAUGAUAGAUUACUAUUUUUUAGUUUUGUUUUUCAUUGUUAAUUUUUAACUUUCUAGUAAUUUUUGUGUUUUCUUCAUUUUAUUAAAUAUAUAACUAAAUACUUGUAUAGAUCCCACCCAAGAUGAGAUGAAUGAACUGGCUGUGUUAAUUGUGCAUUAAUCAGGUGCGGGUCUAAUUAAAAGGCAGUUCCGUCCUUUUAGCAGUGCCUAAUGAGUUUGUUAUUAAAUCCACAGAGAACUGUUUUUUUUUAUUUACUAUCAGGAAAGCACUUAAUUGGCCCCUCAGAACAGAACUUGAGUGUCCUUGAAGGUUGUGACGGUGGGGAGCUUGAGA